UGGGGGAUAUUGCACAAUGGGGGGAAAACCCUGAUGCAGCGACGCCGCGUGGGUGAAGGAGCACUUCGGUGCGUAAAGCCCUAUCGGCAGGGAAGAAAAGGGGGAAACCCCAGACGGUACCUGACUAAGAAGCCCCGGCUAACUACGUGCC
rnacentral:rRNA from 1 species